GCUUAGCUGGGCGUUCGCCGUCCGCCCGUCGCGUUCGCGUGGCGAGCGGCAGCGUCGUCGGCGGAAUUGCCAUUUGGGAAUGCCGGCGGCGAGAUGGGAAGAGCAUC